CCCACCUCUGCCUCCCAAAAUGUGUGAGUCACCAUGCAUGGCCUGAGUUAUUUCUUGAUUAUAUGCUAAACAAGAGGUGAAUUAUUCAUGAGUUUUCUAGGAAAGGGCAAUUCUCAGAGCUGUGAGUUUCUCCUCUUUUUAGAACCUAUAGGGUAACUUUCUGAUGUUGCCAUGGCAUUUGUAAACUGUUGUGGAGGGAGCGUCUGUUAGCAUGCUAAUGCAUUAUAAUUAGCAUAUAAUGAGCAGUGAGGAUGACCAGAGGUCACUUUCGUCACCAUCUUGGUUUUGGUGGGUUUUGUCUGGCUUCUUUACCACAACCUCUUUUAUCAGCAGGGCCUUUGUGACUUUUACCUUGUGCCAGCCUAUCUCAUCCUGUGACUAAGAAUGCCUAAUCUCCUGGGAAUGCAGCCCAGUAGGUCUCAGCCUUAUUUUAACCAGCCUCUAUUCAAGAUGGAGUCACUGUGGUUCAAACACCUCUGACAUCAUGAGCCAGCAGCCAUGGAUGGAAACCAAUAUAUAUCAUUAUAAGACCACAAAAUUACUGACAAUUUUCCUGAAGAAUGAAAGCCUGGCUGUAUGUUGCUACUAUGGACCAGGCAUGAUGCUGGUGCUGGGGAAACAUUGCCAAAGUUCCUGCUUUCAAGUUGUCUGUAGUCCAACAGAGAAAGAAGCAAGGACGUAUCAAGAGUUUCAACCCGAAGAAGCAGAGCAACUGUCCAUCGCUCAAUUUCUAGAGCUCUGAAGGAAAUCUGGAAAACCUAAAGCCCAAGAACAGUUAUUUCUACAGGACUGGGGUAUGUAUGGACAAGUUUCUAGUUCCGCACAUUAGGGAAGAAGUACACAUUUGCCACAAGUACUUUGUUAAAUGAAAAUCCAGAGGAUGAUGGAGAAACCAUCUCAGUUCCAAUGUUCAUGUGGGAAGGGGUAGGGGGUAGACCCCAGGCUUGACAGGAAUUUAAGAAAAAGUUUUUUGGAUCUUUUAUCUUGUUCUUUAGGGAAGAGCACUAUUAGCAGUUUAGACGGAGACUUUUCUCCACUAGUUAGGCAAAAGUGCCUAUGGUAAAGAGACAGAGGCAGCAAUGGGCCAGGGAGGGUGGCAAGCCAGGGGCUACAGUUUUAAAGAGCAAAACAUGGAUCAUGUUCCAAGUCCAUGCUGUGGAAAAGAGAGUUAUCUUCCAGGCUCAACUUGAGCUGGCAGAAGACCAGCUCAAAAUCUUCUCGGGGAAUGAAAGCUGUGCCUUUGGGAACAGGGGACAGACAACUUCUGAGGACAACCUUGGAGUCUGGGGUCUUAGACCCUGAGACAGCCCUGGCCCUGAAGGCAGGGCCUGCUGCAGCAAAAAAGAGAGGAAACAAGUGGUCAGAGAGCCUUUGGUCCAGCCCUUUACAAGACACCCAAGAUUCAGAGGGGAGGCUGGGUUGCCCAAGGUACUAUGGUACUAUGGUGAGUUUACAGUAGGUCUUCAUCAUCCAGAUGCCCUUGAUUUGCUGAAAGAGGAUGAAGCCAAAAUAAAACAAUAAACCAGCAAAACUAGGAAAAAGUUACUUUUU